rnacentral:rRNA from 1 species
CAGGCUUAACACAUGCAAGUCGAGGGGCAGCAUGGUCUUAGCUUGCUAAGGCCGAUGGCGACCGGCGCACGGGUGAGUAACGCGUAUCCAACCUGCCUUACACUCUUGGACAGCCUUCUGAAAGGGAGAUUAAUACAAGAUGUUAUCAUGAGUAAGCAUUUUCGCAUGAUUAAAGGUUUACCGGUGUAAGAUGGGGAUGCGUUCCAUUAGAUAGUAGGCGGGGUAACGGCCCACCUAGUCUUCGAUGGAUAGGGGUUCUGAGAGGAAGGUCCCCCACAUUGGAACUGAGACACGGUCCAAACUCCUACGGGAGGCAGCAGUGAGGAAUAUUGGUCAAUGGACGAGAGUCUGAACCAGCCAAGUAGCGUGAAGGAUGAAGGUUCUAUGGAUUGUAAACUUCUUUUAUACGGGAAUAAACGGAUCCACGUGUGGAUUUUUGCAUGUACCGUAUGAAUAAGGAUCGGCUAACUCCGUGCCAGCAGCCGCGGUAAUACGGAGGAUCCGAGCGUUAUCCGGAUUUAUUGGGUUUAAAGGGAGCGUAGAUGGGUUGUUAAGUCAGUUGUGAAAGUUUGCGGCUCAACCGUAAAAUUGCAAUUGAUACUGGCAGUCUUGAGUACAGUUGAGGUAGGCGGAAUUCGUGGUGUAGCGGUGAAAUGCUUAGAUAUCACGAAGAACUCCGAUUGCGAAGGCAGCUUACUAACCUGUAACUGACAUUGAUGCUCGAAAGUGUGGGUAUCAAACAGGAUUAGAUACCCUGGUAGUCCACACGGUAAACGAUGAAUACUCGCUGUAGGCGAUAUACAGUCUGCGGCCAAGCGAAAGCAUUAAGUAUUCCACCUGGGGAGUACGCCGGCAACGGUGAAACUCAAAGGAAUUGACGGGGGCCCGCACAAGCGGAGGAACAUGUGGUUUAAUUCGAUGAUACGCGAGGAACCUUACCCGGGCUUAAAUUGCAACCGAAUAUGGCGGAAACGCUAUAGCUAGCAAUAGCGGUUGUGAAGGUGCUGCAUGGUUGUCGUCAGCUCGUGCCGUGAGGUGUCGGCUUAAGUGCCAUAACGAGCGCAACCCUUGCCGAUAGUUACUAACAGGUUAUGCUGAGGACUCUGUCGGGACUGCCAUCGUAAGAUGUGAGGAAGGUGGGGAUGACGUCAAAUCAGCACGGCCCUUACGUCCGGGGCUACACACGUGUUACAAUGGGGGGUACAGAGGGCUGCUACCACGCAAGUGGAUGCCAAUCCCAAAAACCUCUCUCAGUUCGGAUUGAAGUCUGCAACCCGACUUCAUGAAGCUGGAUUCGCUAGUAAUCGCGCAUCAGCCACGGCGCGGUGAAUACGUUCCCGGGCCUUGUACACACCGCCCGUCAAGCCAUGGGAGCCGGGGGUACCUGAAGUGCGUAACCGCAAGGAGCGCCCUAGGGUAAAACUGGUGACUG